rnacentral:rRNA from 1 species
GACGAACGCUGGCGGCGUGCCUAAUACAUGCAAGUAGAACGCUGAAGGAGGAGCUUGCUUCUCUGGAUGAGUUGCGAACGGGUGAGUAACGCGUAGGUAACCUGCCUGGUAGCGGGGGAUAACUAUUGGAAACGAUAGCUAAUACCGCAUAAGAGUAGAUGUUGCAUGGCAUUUGCUUAAAAGGUGCAAUUGCAUCACUACCAGAUGGACCUGCGUUGUAUUAGCUAGUUGGUGAGGUAACGGCUCACCAAGGCAACGAUACAUAGCCGACCUGAGAGGGUGAUCGGCCACACUGGGACUGGGACACGGCCCAGACUCCUACGGGAGGCAGCAGUAGGGAAUCUUCGGCAAUGGACGGAAGUCUGACCGAGCAACGCCGCGUGAGUGAAGAAGGUUUUCGGAUCGUAAAGCUCUGUUGUAAGAGAAGAACGAGUGUGAGAGUGGAAAGUUCACACUGUGACGGUAUCUUACCAGAAAGGGACGGUUAACUACGUG